ACCAUCCUGAAGAUUGAAGCUUGCUUCAUGAUUCAGAUUUUGGUGAGUGGCGGACGGGUGAGUAACACGUGGGUAACCUGCCCAAAAGUGGGGGAUAACAUUUGGAAACAAGUGCUAAUACCGCAUAACAACUACUUUCACAUGAUCGUAGCUUGAAAGAUGGCUCUGCUAUCGCUUUUGGAUGGACCCGCGGCGUAUUAGCUAGUUGGUGAGGUAAUAGCUCACCAAGGCAAUGAUACGUAGCCGACCUGAGAGGGUAAUCGGCCACAUUGGGACUGAGACACGGCCCAAACUCCUACGGGAGGCAGCAGUAGGGAAUCUUCCACAAUGGGCGAAAGCCUGAUGGAGCAAUGCCGCGUGAGUGAAGAAGGUUUUCGGAUCGUAAAACUCUGUUGUUGAAGAAGAACAUGCGUGAGAGUAACUGUUCGCGUACUGACGGUAUUCAACCAGAAAGCCACGGCUAACUACGUGCCAGCAGCCGCGGUAAUACGUAGGUGGCAAGCGUUGUCCGGAUUUAUUGGGCGUAAAGAGAAUGUAGGCGGUUUAUUAAGUUUGAAGUGAAAGCCCUCGGCUCAACCGAGGAAGUGCUUCGAAAACUGGUAAACUUGAGUGCAGAAGAGGAAAGUGGAACUCCAUGUGUAGCGGUGGAAUGCGUAGAUAUAUGGAAGAACACCAGUGGCGAAGGCGGCUUUCUGGUCUGUAACUGACGCUGAGAUUCGAAAGCAUGGGUAGCAAACAGGAUUAGAUACCCUGGUAGUCCAUGCCGUAAACGAUGAGUGCUAAGUGUUGGGGGGGUUUCCGCCCUUCAGUGCUGCAGCUAACGCAUUAAGCACUCCGCCUGGGGAGUACGACCGCAAGGUUGAAACUCAAAGGAAUUGACGGGGGCCCGCACAAGCGGUGGAGCAUGUGGUUUAAUUC
rnacentral:rRNA from 2 species